rnacentral:lncRNA from 1 species
UUUUCUCACCUCAGUCGUCUCUCACACGUACACUCCUCUCUCACACUCUUUUGUCUCUCAUCUCAGCCCUCUCUCACCCUCUUCUCUCUCACUUCUCAGCCCUCUUUCACCCUCUUCUCUCUCACCGUCUGCAUACCAAAAUCAAGCCCUCAACAUGACGUCCACUGCAUCAUCAGAUCCAUCCACGUAUCGCGUCACAGAUAUGGAAUCAUAGCAGAUCUGGAGGGGUUGAGAUGAAGUCAGGAAUUUGUUUUGCGAUGCUAUUUGGGAAUUGAGAAUCUAUGUUUACAGCUUUGAUAUUUUGUUGUUGUUAUUAAGGUGCGGCUAUUGCCACCCUACUAACUAUUUUCUUCACCUUACAUUCUCUUCUCACCCUACAUAUAUUUUUUUUUAAUUUCAAGUUUACUUAGUUCACUUCACCCAUUUACAAUACCUAAGAUACUCUUUUCCAAUGUAGGGUACUAUGGUUUAACUCAAAUUCUUUUUCCAUUGGCCUCCAUUGGGUCUUGAUUCUUUUUUUGUUAGCAUAACAUGAGAAUGAUCGAAGAUGAUGAAUGCUAAGAAAGAAAUCGUUAGGGUUUAACGAUGAAUGAAGAGAUUAAUUAAGAAUGAAAUUUAAGUACGUGUUCUGUAAGGUGUAAUAAG